rnacentral:rRNA from 1 species
CACCGCCCGUCACGCAUGGGAGUUGGUUUCACCCGAAGAUGGUGCGCUAACCCGCAAGGGAGGCAGCCAGCCACGGUGGGAUCAGCGACUGGGGUG